AACGUAGGUCACAAGCGUUGUCCGGAAUUACUGGGUGUAAAGGGAGCGCAGGCGGGAAGACAAGUUGGAAGUGAAAUCCAUGGGCUCAACCCAUGAACUGCUUUCAAAACUGUUUUUCUUGAGUAGUGCAGAGGUAGGCGGAAUUCCCGGUGUAGCGGUGGAAUGCGUAGAUAUCGGGAGGAACACCAGUGGCGAAGGCGGCCUACUGGGCACCAACUGACGCUGAGGCUCGAAAGUGUGGGUAGCAAACAGGAUUAGAUACCCUAGUAGUCGGCACUGACU
rnacentral:rRNA from 1 species